CGGCGGCGAUCUCCGGAGCUCGACGUAUUGCCUCUGCGCGCAACGCGCCGUGACCGUGCCGUGGUGAUGCAGCACUAAAGCGCGCAUGAUGUUCCUGCGUCUCUCUGUUCUGCCGGAUUUGACUCGGAUGGCGCGCUGGGCGAGCAGCUCUACCAUCGUCUGAUGAGAACAUUUUUUUUUUUGAAAGACCGUCUGAUGAGAGCAUAAAGGUACCACUCCAUUUCUAUAUAUUAAACGCGCACCGCUCGGCGCUCUCUCAUGGUGGCCACGACAGCAAAAAAGAUUUACAGCGUUCGAUGGUGAAUCUACGGUUCACUUUCACUCCACCCGUGUGUUACUGUUCCAGUAAAUAUCUCCGCGUCGAGAGCUUUCUUCUUCCUCCCCGAUGGCUCUCCGGUCUCCGGUCUCUGCAACUGCGAUGUCCGCGGCGAUAGCCGCCUUCCCCUGCGUCCCGUCCCUACGCCCCUCCCUGGCACGAGAGUUUUCUUCUUCCUCCCCGACGGCUCUCCAGUCUCCGGUCCCCGCAACUGCGAUGCCCGCGGCGAUAGCCACCUUCCCAUGCGUCCCGUCCCUACGCCCCUCCCCGGCACCGGCGUCUCCGCUUCUCCCACGCCCUCCCCACCUUGUCUCCUUCCUCCUGCGCCCGCGCGCUCUCCCCCGCCGUGUCGCCCCGGGCCCUACGUCUUCAGCCGCGUCGCGCCUCCACUGGAUGUGGGGCGAGUUUGUGCGGUUCAUACGCCGGCACGGAAACCAGAUCGCGCCGGUCGUGCUCGCAUCCGUCGGGCUGGCUUCGGCAGGGGCGAGAGCGGAGGGGGUACGUUGUGGGCGGAGGGGAUAUGUGAGGUGGAUGUCUGGAGGAGACCUCGGCGCGGGCUGAGUUACCCCAUGCCGUUCCUAUGGAAGCGCUCGAUGCCGGCGCCUGAGGCAUGCUGCGGCCGGCACGGUACCGGCAUGGAUGGCGGAGCUGAAGCUCCCGGCCACCGAGAUCAGGCCGCUGCGGCACGCGUCCUUAAGGUUCAAGUCGAGGACCAACAUCGCCGACGGCGGGUCUUGUGGGAGGUCAUCAUUUCCUUUCUAUUUCUUCUCUCUUUCCUGUAUCCUGUCCGACCCUUCACGCUCAUCGCCAGCGCUAUUUCCUCUCCGCUACUUGCUCUCCCUCAGCUCUUCUCUUUCUCCCUCUAGUUAAAACGCAAAUCUUUGAAUCGAACAGACCCCUGCUAGCUCAACCCCAUUCAACACGAGUCGUUCCAGGUACGCAACUGUAGCACCAGUCCUUUUCCCUCUCUACUUCUAAUUCUGUUUAAUCCUAUCAGAUACGUUGUAUCUCUUCUCUCUUCCAUAGGUCAAUUAGAAAUCUAGAUCUAUUAAUUUCAUUCAUAAUUCUAGAUCUACUAAUUUCUCUUCCCUAUGAUCAUUCAGAGAGGCGUUUAGCUCUAGGACUACUGAGCUCAGCAUCAUACUAAUAUCUCAAUUUAACAAAUUACAGUAUAAGUUUGUACAUUUUUUUUUCCUUAAGUGCACAAGACAGGAGAAAUUCAAAGGGGAUACUAAGGUAUUUCGUUUCUGAUUAAUUGACUACCUAGACUUUUGAGGUGCCUACAGGCUACCAGGCUGCCAUUCUGGACCUUUCAUUGCCGUGGUCACUACUAGAUCAGGUACGAGGAUGGUCCUAGGUGCAUGAAGGGCUCAUGUUCACUUCGGUGAGGGGUUCAGGGCAUGAAAUGUCGUUGUUUCGACCUAAAAAGGCGCACAACAGUCUACUCUUGCACUUGAGCAGGAAAUUGCUCUCCUUCGUCAGUUUGAAUAUGAAAAUAUAGUACAUUCAAUCAGGUAACAAAGAAGGCCGGAAAGAAGAGUAUCCUAUUAAUGGACAGGUAAAGAACUUAGUUUUGAGAUGCUUUUUCAUUUUUGAACCAUGCAAGAGCAACUACAAUGUGCAUUGUUUAGUCCUAUUGUUGAUUCAACGGUGUCUUCAUCAUAUUCGCAAACUAAAUUAAUAUCCAUUUCUGAGAUUUGGAAGAAUAGUAGGCCACCAAAUGAGCAAUUGCGAAUUCAAAUAAUUCUGUUCAGCACAAUAAUUUGCAUUAACUUGGGAAUUUGAGCAUGUUGCAGAAAUAUUUCGACCGGCACUUCUCUCUCUCUCUAUAUAUAUCACACACCCUCAUAUGGUAUUACAUAUAAAUUCAACCAACAAUACAUACAUUUGAACUCUAUUGUUUACUUCCGUUCUAAUGACCUCUAUGUCCAGAUAAGUACAUCCUAACAACGGAUGGGAAAACACAACCAAUGCAGCAACAGGUAAGUCAAAGGGGAAAAAGAAACAAAAUAUCUAUUAAAUUCCACGUAUUUAUUUGAUGAAUAGGGAUUGCAUGCCAGGCCAGCAGCUGGUAAAUUUCAUCCACGAGCAUAAAAACAAGGUGAGUGCCACAUUAUAUUUCCAGAUGGGUGGCUGAACUGAACUCCGGUGAUUGUUCAUGGAGCCAUACAUCUGUUGAAUACUUUUUCACACAUAGCAGAUAGGCUUCUCUCUUGAGUUAUUUUAGCAAUACCCAUAGUCUGUCAUUGCCUGGCACUAUAACUUACCAAAAGGUAAUUCUAUUCUUGUGAUUUUUCCCUGUAUAGAAUUGUUUGGGGGCAGCAUGUCUGUAUACUCACAUCAAGCAUACAGGAAUUAUACUAAAGGUUCCGUUCUAAAAUUUUGUAGCAUCUUGAUUAUGGAUUGGUUGUGUACCCAAUAUUGGUUCUUGCUCUAACUCCUGAGCUUGCACAACAAAUUGAGAAGAUCGUGUGCAUCGAGGGGAUCCUUCUUACAUGCCACAUGGCCAGGCUUUGCAGCAAAGGGUGCCAUUGGUGCUGGUUGGUUGCAGUGCUGAAGCAGAAAAUGGCAAGAUAAUGAUCCAACAUUUGGUCAUCGAAUGCCUGAAUACGACUCCCUAGCUACCCAAUCAACUAUCAAGAGUCAUCAAGAACUGUAUGAAAUGAGUGAAGGAAGCUUUAACGAUCAUAAUGAUCAAUCAGAUGGUCAUGACAAUGGAACGACAAGGGACUCAUUCUAGGAAAUGUGUACAUGCCCCAAUUUGAGGUUUUUGCAUCUGUUGCCACUGAAGAGAAGGCUUGAUAAUGGCAUCCAUUUGUAUUACAUUUUAGGCAUGACAAGCUUUUCCGUUUUAUUUGUUUGCGGCAUUAAUUGUGAUUAGUAACAGAUCUCAAUGAUGUUUUAGACUACAGAAUUUAUGCGUUCAUUUGCUCUCUUCAGCUUUUUGCCGUUGAUUUUAUCCGCUUCUCCCUAAUCUAUCUUACAUAUUUAAGGAGAUGCUAAUAAUGGAUUAUUAUUUACUACCUAUA